UACGUAGGGGGCAAGCGUUGUCCGGAUUUAUUGGGCGUAAAGAGCGUGUAGGCGGCCUGAAAGGUCAGCUGUGAAAACUCGAGGCUCAACCUCGAGACGUCGGUUGAAACCAUCUGGCUAGAGUCCGGAAGAGGAGUGUGGAAUUUCCGGUGUAGCGGUGAAAUGCGUAGAGAUCGGAAGGAACACCAGUGGCGAAGGCGGCUACCUGGACAAAUACUGACGCUGAGG
rnacentral:rRNA from 1 species